rnacentral:lncRNA from 1 species
ACUCAUAUACUGUCGGUGUGCGAAUGCGCCAGGGAAUGUAAAAAUUCACCAUCGUGCCUAAAGAAGUAUAACUUCAAAAAACAGCAAAUACAAAAUAUGUGAUUGAUGUGAUCGUUCAUGGGUAUUUUUUCAUUUUUCCGACUGUAUAUGGUUUACAAGACCUAAAAACUGACUUAACAGUUUCAGAAUCUUCUGAUGGCUCCUCUUAUUAACCGGGAGGAUUGAGUAGAGUUAGCCAACACUGUGGUAUCAACAGAAAUACAAUGUAUGCCUCACCGUCUUCGAAUUCUUGUCGGACUGCUUUAUAGUAACAUACCGUUAUAGUUCGGAAGGAAGUCGGUAAUAUAGUGUAGGUGUAGAGUGUUGUAUUGCAUUCAGCCUAAGUAAAAAAUAUGUUGAUUACAUAUUUAAUUACCAGAAAAAAUCAGCCGCCGCACUAUAGCUAUAGCCGAACUACCGAAACCUACAAAUCUGACCGUUUCACUAUAUUACUUACUUAGACUAUAAUUCCUUCAUUUUUCUCAUAAAGUUUUAAUUUAUUUGCAUUAUUUAUUUUUAUUGAUUUUUGGUACUUAUAAAAAAAUUUCUUGUAAAAAUUUAUUAACAAUAAACAUAUUUCUUCUAUAAUGUAUUAAUGUUAAUUAGACACAUACUAAAUAAAAUGAGGCACAUUUCUACAUCGACAAAAUCAAUUGAGUAAAUAAAGUAGCAAUAAAGAAGCAACUAGUUGUUAGAUAAAGUUUGCUACUACCUUUAUAUUUUUUUCGCAGAAUUAAAAUUUGUUACUGGUUUUGUCAUGUGAUGAUUAAAUAACCAGUUAAAGCACUUAUUUGUGCCAUGAACUGGAACCGUAAUCUGGUUUUGUCAAGUAUGAGGUGCUCGGCAAUCUAUAAGCAAAAUUUUGUCAAGUCAAUGACUCGAGUCAUGUGAUCAUGACAACUACUGGAAAGAUUUAAUCUAGACUGCAGUUGAGGUUUGUAUGUAAGAUCUUUGUUAUUAGCAGUCUUAUACAAUGCUUAAAUGUUUGUGCCUAUCCAGUAUAUGAGUCUUUUUUGUGAAAAAUAGCACAUUUCAUAACGACAAUAAUCGUUUUAAUAGUUUUGAACUUACGAAUACAUGUAAUAUAUAUUUCAAUCUUGUUACCCUGAAUGACUAUAUUUAGUCGUUUCAUCAGCAUAGUAUUUGUGGUUUGCUGUCAACCCUUUGUAUAUGUUUCUGGUGUAAUUUGUUGCGACAUUCCAAUGUCUUAAUAUUUGUUAAUAAUAUUCUCUAUUUAUUCAGAAAAUUUAUCAUUUUUUCGUUUUAAAACGUUUCCCAAUUUUUGUACAGUUAUGUUAGAGAUGGAGUAUGUACAGUGCAAUUUUUUGUUUUAUUUUAUUAGAUUUAUUUAUAAUUUUAAAAAAUAAUAUAUAUUUAUUGGGAUUCUUUUAAAAUGGACUGAGUAUUAUUUAUUUACAAGAAAUCCAGUAGAUGAACUUGGUGAAGUGAAGCUGUGAUUUUUGUAUUUUUUCAGUUUUAUGUGUAUAGUUGUGUGUAGAGAUGAUUAAAUGAGGUAUUCCCGGUUUAUUUACUGGACAUUAAUUUUGAUAAUUUCAUAAUGAUGUGACAUAGCUUUUGAUAAAAAAAUGUUGGUCGGUAUCUGACAUACUUAUUGAUUUAUAUUUGUGUUCCAAACGGACUGAUAUUGACGAAACCAAUGGUUUAUUCGUUUAGAUUGUGAUUUAAGCCUACAGGUUUAUUUCUAUAGCUAAUUUUAGAGAAUUAUUUGUUAAAUUUGUCUAAUUCAAACGUAUCUAAAUAUAUUUAUGGGAAUUUAUAUAGCUUCAAGUUUCAGAAUGACAACGUGAUUUCUUUCUUUACCCUUUUUAAAGUUUUGAUUUCUUUAGUUUAUCACUACCAAACAAAAUCAAUUUCUGUUUUCUAAAACAUUUUUCAAUCAAAUUGAAACUUCGUAUUUAGGAAAAUUUAAAAUUUAGCUGUUUUAUCGCAUCUUUUAAGUUCCCAUAGUGUGUUUUUUCUUAAUAUUACCAAAUUAUUUGUCUACACAGGAAAAAAUAACUUUGGAGCUGUGAGUGGUGGACCUUGUUAAAAUGAGGUCAUGGAAUCUCAAUAACAUUAUUAAAUAACGCCCAUCUUUUAGUCGUUUGCUCCUCGUUAAUCGUUUAUUCUGACCAUCUCUUAUAUAUUCCACUUUCCCUUAGUCUGUAUGUUUGCAUUAAGUUUUUGUUUAAGUAUAAGCAAUUCAUUUGCAUUCCCAUUCUUUUUCAUCGAGUUAAUUUAAGUAUUGUAACACUUAAGUGAACUAGAAAUGAUGCUAUCUUAAAUUGUAUUACAAUCAUAAUUGAAAAUCAUUUUUGUGUUUGGUACAUUCCAUGUCAAAUCACUCGGGCAAAAACAUUGGAUGUCCGAUUUUUCUAAAACUUGGUGUAUAGCUUUUACGGGACGUAAAAAAUAAGACAUUUAAGGUCAAACAGUCUUCUUCUUCUUCUUUUUUUCUCAAAAUGUUAUUUUGCGAUUUUACAGUGAUUUGGUGUUUAUUUAAACAAAUUUGCAUUUCUCUAGUAAAGUAUCAAUGAAAAGAAUAAUAUUUUAAUAGAAGGGACUCAGAAAUGUCAUUAUAAGGAAUUAUAAACAAGUUAUUUUGAUUCAAAACAAGUUUUUGAUCAAAUUUUAGUGAAAAAAACGUUAAAAUACCAUUUAUUAUAUUCCUCCAUUCCCAAAAUACAUCAUAUUCGAUUUAGCUGAAAAUUUGCCCAUAGCUAGCCAAAAUAUAGGAUUAAGUGGUUAAAAGGAUUUAAAUAAUUUAACAAUACAAAAAAA